rnacentral:rRNA from 1 species
UAAACAUUGACAGUUAAUUACACCCACUGUCCGCCUGGGGACUACGAGCACCAGCUUAAAACCCAAAGGACUUGGCGGUGCUUUAGACCCACCUAGAGGAGCCUGUUCUAGAACCGAUAAUCCCCGUUAAACCUCACCCUUCCUUGUCAUUUCCGCCUAUAUACCACCGUCGUCAGCUUACCCUGUGAAGGCCCUAUAGUAAGCGCAAUCGGCAAUGCCCAAAACGUCAGGUCGAGGUGUAGCGAAUGGAAGGGGAAGAAAUGGGCUACAUUUACUGGCACAGUAAAUACGGAUGAUUACCCUGCAACGAGUAUCUGAAGGAGGAUUUAGCAGUAAGCAAAAAGCAGAGUGUUUUGCUGAAACUGGC